rnacentral:rRNA from 1 species
ACUCCUACGGGAGGCAGCAGUGGGGAAUAUUGCACAAUGGGCGCAAGCCUGAUGCAGCCAUGCCGCGUGUGGUGAAGAAGGCCUUCGGGUUGUAAAGCACUUUCAGUUGUGAGGAAAGGUUAGUCGCUAAUAUCGGCUAGCUCGUGACGUUAGCAACAGAAGAAGCACCGGCUAACUCCGUGCCAGCAGCCGCGGUAAUACGGAGGGUGCGAGCGUUAAUCGGAAUUACUGGGCGUAAAGCGCGUGUAGGUGGCUUGUUAAGCCAGAUGUGAAAGCCCGGGCUCAACCUGGACUGCAUUUGGAACUGGCAGGCUAGAGUUUUGUAGAGGGUGGUAGAAUUUCAGGUGUAGCGGUGAAAUGCGUAGAGAUCUGAAGGAAUACCGGUGGCGAAGGCGACCCACCGUGGCCAAUAACUGACACUGAGACGCGAAGGCGU